rnacentral:tRNA from 1 species
GCCUCUGUAGCUCAGUUGGUUAGAGCGCUGCACCGGAAUCGCAGGACUGCAGGUUCAACUCCCUGCCAGAGGAC